rnacentral:lncRNA from 1 species
AAUCGUGUCGGUCUCAUUAUCGUCGCAACUGUUGACUGGGUGUUGUACAGGUAGAUUUUCACAAUCCUGAGAUUCACAUCCAAGACCACAGCUUGUUUGCUUUUUCCUAGAGCCGCAUCUCACACCACACUAUGUUUUACAUUUGCAGUAAUGUGCUAAUACUAUUCUCUAUUUCAGACUUAACCUUUUUAUCCUCCCAGUCAAUGGACUAAAAUCCCUCUUCCGAUAGCAACCAACCAUUAAGAGUAAAUGAUAGAUUAUCAGAUUAUCGGACAGCAGGUAUAGUCGGAUGCUUGUUUCAUCUUUUGUCACUGUCAAAACAACUUUUAAUUAUUAUGAUAAGAUAGUCCUAUGAUAACGAAGGUAGCAUACCAUGACAGCAGUCCAGCUCUCUUGCUUCAAGUUUUUUAAUAAUUUUUUUCCCUCCAUUUUCAGCCAACAGGUAUGAUCGGAUGAAACUCUCUACCACCAGACAAGCGUAAAAACCUAGGCUAAAGUAGUUUUGUCCUCAUAAUAACAGUAAAGGCAAUAGUCCUGCACCUCUAGAGUCCCUGAUAGAGGGAAUGCAGUAGCUCUGUGGUCCUUGGAUAUCCUUGUGACCAUCAUUUUGCUUAGGGCAAUUAAUUUCAUGCAUGCACAAAACAGAGGGUAUUAAACUUCGUUGGGAUAAGAGAAAGAGAAGAGUUGAAGGUUGAUUAUUGAAGAGGUAAGAGCCAUGAUGCAAUUUAUGGUUUAAAAUGGUAAAUAACAUCAUAUAAAGAGGGCCUGGGUGAUUAUUGGCCACGAGAUGAAAGGUACUGUCUAUUUGUCACUUACAGUUGUCACAAUGAUUCUGGCAUAGCUUAGACUAUAUAAAAUUAGCACUAGUUUUGAUUAAAAUCCAUAGUAUACAGUUAUUGAAUUUAUGUAGAUCUAGGCCUAUAAUAAAAAAUAUUAUGCAGAGUUUUUAGUUUUGAAUUUUUUAAAAAGAACCCCAGCCACACCCGAAUGUGCAAUAAUUAAUUUGUUUGUUAGAUUAUAUUAUGUUAUUAUCUUUAUAGGCUUAUGGCUGCAUACAUACCUGCAUUGAAGGAUAGGGUACUGUGUGCAACACGCAGUCAUCAAAGACAACAGCCGACAUUAAAUUAUCAUCCCAGUGCAUAUAAGCAUUGGUCAAGUGAUGCGAUGGACAAGGCCUUAGAUGCUGUAUUGAAUAAAGGCUGGAGUAUUCGACAUGCUGCAGAAUCUUACAGUGUUCCUCGCUCAACUCUGGAAGAUCGAGUAAGUGGACGCACUAUAUAUCAUGCUAAAAGUGGGCCAAAAAAGAUUCUAACUGAUGAGGAGGAAGAAGUCCUUGUUAACUUUUUGAUUGGUUGCGCAACUGUUGGAUAUACAAAGACUCGUGCAGAAGUCAUGACCAUGAUCAAUCAGCUAAAUAAAUCAAGAGGACUUGUUGGAACUGUAAGCAGUGGCUGGUGGGAAGGUUUUUGAAAGCACCACCCUUGUUUAACAUCAAGAAUAGCACCAUGCGUGUCACAACAGAGGCAUAUCUCUUCUCAUAGGCCUACUGUGCUAAAUCAGUACUUUGAUGUCUUAAGAGGAAACGCUGACUAAGUAUGACCUAAUGAAGAAGCCAAACUGCAUCUUUAAUAUGGAUGAAACAGGGGUGGCAAUGGAGCCUGAUCAGCCAAAAGGAAUUUUUUUGAAAGGAGAAAGAAGGCCAAUGAUGUUAUUGUCAGGAUUGAAAGGCCAGUUUACUGUUGCAGGAUGUGUUAGUGCAGCUGGUUUUUGUCUACCACCAUUUGUUAUCAUAGACCGGAAAAGGUUUAAUCCUGCAUUUGCAGAGGGAGAGGUACCAGGUAGAGCAUAUGGUUUGUCACAUAAUGGAUGGAUGGAUCAGGAAUUGUUUCAUCUAUGGCUUAAGGAUCAUUUUCUCAAGUAUAUACCUACUACAAGACCUGUUAUUUUGCUUAUGGAUGGACACAGAUCACAUUACAAUCCAGAAACAAUUCGAUUUGCUUCAAAGAAUGGAGCAGUUUUAUUUACUUUACCACCCAAUACAACUCACAUGUCACAGCCUCUUGAUCGAAGCUGUUUUGGUCCUUUGAAAACUGCAUGGCGGGAGGUUUGUCAUAGAUUCAUGUGCAACAGUGAUCAAACUGUAAGCAGAUUUUCAUUUUCUCAUUUGCUUCAUGAAGCAUGGGAUAUUGCUAUGACGAGGAAGAAUAUCAUGAAUGGCUUCAAAGUAACUGGUAUCUUUCCCUUUGAUCGAAAAGCUCUUGUCCCUGAGCCUGAAGAUGAUACAUCACCCUACUCACCACUGUUAACUCCUCCUCGUCAUACUAACAGAUGAGUUAUUGUUGAUGAUGUCACCUUAGAUAAUAGUCACUUUAGUAAUGAUAUCAGUGACUCAUCAUUUGAGAGCUCUCUUACAUUAUUACCUAGAAGAUCUAGUUUUUUCAGAAAUGCUACGUUAUCCCUCUCCUAUUCCAGUACCAAAGAGUAAUCCUCAAUCAAAGGAAUCCAGAGUAUUAACAAGUGAUGAAAAUUUGAAGAGGAUAGAAGAGAAAGAAAGAGAAAGAGAAGAAAUCGCAAAAGAAAAGGUUAGGAAGAAGGAGUUAAGAUAACAGAAAAAAUAGAUAAAGCAAAUAAUAAGAAAAAGAGAUUUAUAAAUGACAAAAGUGAUAAUAAAGCAGAUCCUGUAACAGGUGAUGAGUUUUCAGCGGAAGAAAUCCAGCUAUUUAGAAAACGAUUUGAGAAUGGUUAUAACUUAGAACAUGAUGCUCGUUACAAUGAAUGGAAGAAAAAGGUUGCCAUGCAGCAUGAUUCCUUGGAGCAAUCUAGCGAUGAAUCAACAUAUGAAGAUUGGAUGUUCACUCGAACUACUGCUGAAAAGACUCCUGAUACCCUCACUCAACCUAGAUGUACACUUAAAAAGACUACUUUAGGCAAUGAUGUUAUUGAUUCUUGGCAUAGAGGAACUUUUAAGAAGUCUGCUAGUAAUGAUGGCAUAAUAAUGAGAAGGCAGAGUGUACUGUGUGUCAUGGCUAUUAUGCAGUCACUUCUUCUGGUGCAAUUCGCCUUCAUGGACCACAAUCUGAUUGGUGCCCUGGUCCUCGGCAGCCAGUUGGGGUAGAAUCAGAUAUGUAUAAUUCAUCUGUCACUCAUUCUCUUCCAAGUUCUCCUUCUCCUCACCAGCCACAUAGUGUAGACCUAAAGAACACCUCAUCCACUGUCCCCAUUGUUAAGCAAUUACCCAACACUGCUACUAAUAACGAUAUUAUUAAGCCUAGAUCUAUACGUACUCUCAAUAAGACUGCUACUAGUACUAAUGAUAGUACUCAGCCUAAGCUCACUCUUAGACAUAAUGCUACUAAUGAUGAUACUCAUAAGAAGACUGCUGCUAUUGAUGAUAUAACUUAGCCUAGACAUACUCUGAAAAAGACCGCUACUUAAGGAGACUGCUACUAAUAAUGAUAUCACUCAGCCUAGACGUAGGACUGUUACUGACUCUCUUAAGAAGACUGCUGCUAUUGAUGAUAUUACUCAUCCCAGAUGUGCUUUAAGGACUGCUACUGAUUCUUUGAAGAAGACUGCUGCUAAUGAUGAUAUUACUCAGCCUAAGUGUACUCUAAAGCCUGUUACUUCUCUUAAAAAGACUGCUACUAAUAAUGAUAUUACUCAGCCUAGACGUACUUUUAGAAAGACUGCUAGUCAGCCUAGACACAAUUUCAAGAAAACUGCUACUAAUAAUGAUGAUUUUUAAAACUGCAAUAUAAAACUUUUAUGUAAACAAGAGGUCAUUUUCAAGACACAGAAGCUGACAUAAAUAAAAAUCUAAAAUGCACUCUAAAGAAGUGCAAGCACCCCUAUGCACAAAAUUGGAUUCAAUGCAGUGUUUGUGAAGCUUGGCAUCAUUGUAUUUGUAUGGAAACUACUCUAAGGAAGGCAGAACAAAUAACUUUUACUUGUUGUCAAUAAAACUAUUAUUGGUUAAUUAACUAUAACUUUGAUAGAGGAAAGAUGGCUGACGAGAACAGUCAACACUAGAAUUGUUUCUAAAAAUUCUUGCUUCCUUUACCGAGCUUUUUUUACAAUGCUACAUCUUUUAAAAUAAUCUGAGAUUCAAUUUAAAAGGGUAAAAGUUCAGAAAAGCUCAUUUUUUUGCUUGUCCGGUGGU